rfam:Stegodyphus mimosarum contig735, whole genome shotgun sequence.
GCCUUCGUGGUGUAGUGGUCUGCAUGCUGGACGCGUAACCGAGAGGUCCGUGGUUCGAUUCCCGGCGAAGGCG